rnacentral:rRNA from 1 species
AUUGAACGCUGGCGGCAUGCUUUACACAUGCGAGUCGAACGGCAGCGCGGGCUUCGGCCUGGCGGCGAGUGGCGAACAGGUGAGUAAUGCAUCGGAACGUGCCCAGUAGUGGGGGAUAGCCCGGCGAAAGCCGGAUUAAUACCGCAUACGACCUGAGGGUGAAAGCGGGGGACCGAAAGGCCUCGCGCUAUUGGAGCGGCCGAUGUCGGAUUAGCUAGUUGGUGGGGUAAAGGCUUACCAAGGCGACGAUCCGUAGCUGGUCUGAGAGGACGACCAGCCACACUGGGACUGAGGCACGGCCCAGACUCCUACGGGAGGCAGCAGUGGGGAAUUUUGGACAAUGGGGGCAACCCUGAUCCAGCCAUGCCGCGUGCGGGAAGAAGGCCUUCGGGUUGUAAACCGCUUUUGUUCGGGAAGAAAUCCUCUGGGCUAAUACCCCGGGGGGAUGACGGUACCGGAAGAAUAAGCACCGGCUAACUACGUG